UGUUUUUCCUCUGUUUUACUUUGAUGAUUGUUAUGUUAUGAAGCUUUUCUUGUAUAAAGCUCAAUUUCUCCAUGACCACGGAAGUAAACAUCCUGAUGCAUUCUUGUCAUGUGAAUGUUGAGAGCGUGUUCAUUUUUGAAAUCUCCUUUCUGACAGACCUAUCCCACGGGAUCAGCUGAGAUGUUAUUUCACUGGAUUAUUUAAUGGAUAGACUUAUUGGGCAUAUAUUUGGAUAUCUCUGUCCUCAACAUGGAAAAUAUGUUUUGUUCCUAACCAUCUAUAAUCAAUUCUCUAUGAAGUUCAGCCUGGCUGCUCUUCCUUUGGAAAUACACAGUUAGUCAAUCAACAUAGAAACACACAAACUUGAAGGAUAUUCUAGUGAGGGCUUGUGGAAAUGAUCUAUGUCUACUCUCAGAAUGGUGAAAGACUAUCAGAUUAUGCAAAGACUAACAGAAUAUCCUCUUUUGAAACACUGAAACAAGAAAAUCAAACAGGAUGGAGGAUUUAAGAAGCACAUAGAUAAAUAUGAUUUCCAACCAAUUUAACCAGUACCAUCAAAGACUGUGGUUUACAGGAUGACAAAGAAAGGACCCAGGAUUGUAUCUUUUACUGUCAGACACUAACUAUGAAUAAGAUGUAGCCAUUUAUCAAACUGAGAUCUAUAGUCAAAUCAAAUAUUGAAAAUAUGAUUUUCUGAUAGCAUGAAUUUAUUCUCACCAACUUCAAAGUAUCUAUAGCUGACUUUUUAUUUUUACCAACUCAUAUUGAAGACAGUUGUUAUGUAUGAGAAGUAUACAUUUAAACCUUUUAUUUUUCAUCUUAUUUCUAUAACCCCUUAGAAAUUACAUAGAUAUUCAGAUGCUAAAUUUGAUGUAAUUAUUACUUUCCUGGAAAUGUAAAUAUAUUUUAUUUGUGUAUAUGUGUGUAUUGUGCCCUAUAAUUAAAUUUAGAAAUUGAAAUAUGAUAAAGGUCCCUUAAUAUCCCACAUCAAGAUGCAGGUGCCCAAUAAUCUGUGAUGCAAUAAUAUCUUGAAUAUUAUUUAUUAUCUCAUACACUUCAUAUGCUUACUACACAGAAAAGGUUAGCGUAAUACACUUAGUUUUAUAGGACACUUUGUCAGGGUCAAAGCAUGAGAUUAUUGAGAUAACUACCUUUGACAAUAAUUUGCAAACUUUACAUCAUAAGAUUUGCUAUAGAUUUUUGGAUCAUUUACUCCUGAGUAAAAGUUAGUUCCUGAGAUUACUGAUUUGAAUCAUUUAAUGCAAUAACUUCAACAUUGUGUGAUAACUUAAAGACUUUAUAAAAAUUAGGUGCAAAUUCUUAGGAAAGUAUUGAAAUGUUAAUCAAAUGUACAAUAUUCAAGGGUGUUUAUAUGACUAUUACUAUGUAAUACCUUGGGUUUCUGUAAAAAUCCUAUAUUCACUACAUAGAUAAAGACCUGUAUAAUAUAUAUGUUGAACUAUGAUGAAGGAAAAAAAAGGUCAAAAGCUCUCCCCUUUCAUUUCUUUCAUAUUCUGUCAUACACAACAAUAGAUAAAUUGCAGUCAUUUAUCAAACUGAGGUCUAAUCAAAUCCUAGAAUUGAUAUUGUGAUUUUCAGAUAGCAUGAGCUCUUUAAAAACUAAUUCUCACAGACCUCAAAGUAUCUACAGGUGACUUUUAUUUUUUUUUUUUACCAAUUCAUAUUGAAGACAGAUGUUAUGUAUGAUUUUUAUACAUUGGAUCCUUUAUUUUUCAUCUUAUUUCUAUAUCCCCCUAUCAAAUAACACAGAUAAGAUGUUUAAAAGCUAGCUUUGGUGUAAUUAUUACUUUCCUGGAACUGUAAAUACAUUUUGUUUGUGUAUGUAUCAUGUUUAAUUUUGAAUUUAAAAUUGGUCUCAAUAAGACCCCACAAUAAAGAUGCAAGUGCCCCCUAAUCUGUGAUUUAAUAAUAUCUUGAAUAUCUUUAUCAUACCAUAUUGUACAUACUUAUUACAUAUAGAAUGGUUGUAUGAAUACACUUUGUUGUUUAGGACACUUUGUCAAGGUCAAAGCAUAAGAUUAUUGAGAUGACUUCUUUGACAAUAAUUUGUAACUUACAAACUUCACAUCAUAAGUACACAGAUGAAGAAUGAAUGAAUAAGAGAUUUCUAUAGAUUUUUGGGUCAUUUUUAUCCUGGGUUAUAUUUUCAGUUGUUGUAACUUUAACAAUUUGUGAUAACCUAGAGACUUUUUAUCAGCUUUAUUGGGUGGCAUGGCAUAUUCUUUGGUAAAUCAUAUGCACUAUGUUCAAGGAUGUUUAAAGACUAUUACUAUGUAAUACCCAGGGUUUCUGUAAAAAUCUUAUUAUCACUGCAUAGAUAAAAACUGGUUGGAAUAAUACAUGUUGACAAUAAUUUGCAACCUACAAACUUCACAUCAUAAGUAAAGAAAGAUUCAGAGAUUUUCUAUAGAUUUUUGGAUCAUUUUUCUCCUGGAUUAUAUUUUCAGUUGUUGUAACUUUAACAAUUUGUGAUAACCUAGAGACUUUUUAUCAGCUUUAUUGGGUGGCAUGGCAUAUUCUUUGGUAAAUCAUAUGCACUAUGUUCAAGGAUGUUUAAAGACUAUUACUAUGUAAUACCUUAGAAUUCUAUUAAAAUCUUAUUAUCACUGCAUAGAUAAAAACUGGUUGGAAUAAUACAUGUAUAUUUUUUGAAAUAAGGAUUAGGGGAAAAGUCAAGAAUGUGGAUAUGACUUUUAUUCAAGUGGUGCUGUACGACAACUCUGGUGAUUUACUUACCUUCAGUCAUAAAAAAAAAUAGGUAUUGGGAAGACUCCUCUAGAUUUUGAAAUUUUUAUUCAAAAGUACAGAAUUUUUUUAAAGUUUGAAAGAUUGAAUAGCAGCAUAUCAUUUGCUUGUGAAUUAAAAAAUAAAUCCAAUCAUAUACAUCUUUAGAUGAUAAUUGUAGAAUUUUAUCAAUUCCUGGACUUCUGUCUUGAUAUCAUCCCUUAAUGUCUUUAAAAUUUUAAUGAUUGUCUUUUAGUUUUAAUUGAAUUAGUUUCUUUCCUGCAUGUGAAAAUGACAUCACCCAAAGAUAUGAAGAAGACAAUUUUCAUCACAGUGAAAGAGAUUGUUUUGUUAAACAUAAUGCAUUGAUGCACAAAUAUAUUUUUAAAUUUCUAAUAGCUAGGGUUCAUAUUUCUUUAUAUGGAAUGCUAAGUACUGUUGAUUUCAAUUUUUGUGAACAAAAACAUACUAGUAGAAAAAAAAAAGUACAUGAUGUGUCAGAAAAGCAUGUGGAAACCUGAUGACUUUGUCAUUGUUGAUUAAAUCAAUUAUGAGUUUCAUCUUUGUUACAUUGUAAACAUUUCUAAGUAGGGCAUACAUCAGAAACUCUUAAAAUUCUGAGUAUCAGGGUUUAACACAUCAAUUCCAAAUGAUUUUUGGACGCUUUUUAUGUAUCAAAAAAAAAAAAAAAAAAAAAAUAGAAUAUCUGUUCGCAGAUGUUUCAAAAGGAAAACAAGCACAAAGAAAUGAUUUGUAAUGUUUUUUAUGUGAUUCAUGUAAAAUGUAUUUUAAAAGUGUACCCUAACAUUUAUCUUUUGCAUAAAUACAUAUUUUUGUGGAGAAUUUUUCAUAACUUUGAAAAAGUAGUCUUAUUGUUUAAUAUGAUUAACUUAGAAUUUUGUAGACUUUAAAGUUGUACAUGAUGUGUUACACAUCUUACAUAUGUAACCAUUUUCAUUUCCAGGGCAUUCAGCAUAUAUUGUGGUUUUGUCUUAAAUUUGUUUGCUUAUGUAAUCAAUAAUUUGAGAAUACUCAAAUUAGGUAAUAUAUGAGAGAAUAAACAAGAAAAUCAGGUUUAAAAAAUGAUUUUUACAAUUAAUAAGGGGUUCUUCUAUAUAUUUAAUCUAUAAGUAAAUUCAGUUUAUACAAUUAAGGUAUUUCUGUAUGAAAUAAACUUGCAUUUAAGCAUUUUAAGUCAAUUGUAAACAUUACUUUAACCAGUUUUAAAAAAUGAUUAGAUUCACUGUCAGCAUGUUAUUUCUUAUAAAAUAAAUGAGAAAACAAACAAUUUAAUUUGAGUCAGUUACUUAAUGUAAAUAAGAAGCAUUGGAAAUUGGGAAUAUUUCACAAAGUUGAUUGAGCAUAAUUAAUUUAUACAAAAUUUUAUUCACUUAAGCAUUAAAGA